CUGGACCGGGUCUUGGAUUCAUCUGGCUUUCGUAUGUUAACAGGUUCUGAAAGCAUCUGGGACACACUUGUUCCAUUUUAACCAGCACGGGUCGUCCGUCUGCUUUUAUUUUUGUCUUUCUCUUCCUUCCUCCCUUCGUCCUCUCUUCCCUCCCGUGGUCUUCUGUGUUUGCUUUAGCAGUGUGGCUUACCUUGCCACUUGGCAAGAAAAAAAAGGCAGCUCUUGUGUGGGGUAGAUGGAGGGAAGGAUAAGAAAUAAUCCACCGCCCGAAUUUGAGUUCCCUGGGUUCAGUUCCAGCGGCAGCAGCUUUGCUGCAAAAAUUGCUUUGCUGUUCGAGAUAGCCAGCAGAGGGAAUCAGGACUUUGCUUGCAGCAGGGGUUGAAGCAGGCUUUUUUUUUUUUUCUUGGAGGAAAUACUGCAGCUUUCUGGACUGCAUACCCUGCUCCCUGGAGAGGUUCCACCCACCGGCUGGAAGGAGAGGAAGUGAAUGAAAGGACAGGAGGAGCCCGAACACCAUGUCACUCUGGAAGGGAGACAGCAGCAACCAGGCUGUGCAAGUGAGUGGUGGAAGACGAAGGAUCUCUGAAGCCUCAUCAGUCAUCGGGACCAUCAGGAAUAGUGGUUUAAGAGGACGCUCGGCCUGGGGCACUAUACCCUGUCAUCGAGUUCCCUGCCUCGGAGAUAAAGAUUCCAGCUACAUGGGUAAACGCCUGGAUCAGCCACAAAUGUACCCCCAGUACACUUACUACUAUCCUCACUGUCUCUAAACCAAGGUAUGGCUCGACCCACAGUCUGGCAAGCAGUGUACUCUAGAGACUGAAGUUUGGAGCUUUACAAUAGAUGUUCUUUACUUUUCGAAGCUCUGUUUUUCUGUGCUGGCUGCCAUCAGGAGGCCUGUGGGUCUUGAAACGGGAUGAAAUAUAACUGAUGAUAAUUGGACACGAAUUGGUUAAAUACUUUAGUCUUGGGAUCCCUGGGUGGCGCAGUGGUUUGGCGCCUGCCUUUGGCCCAGGGCGUGAUCCUGGAGACCUGGGAUCGAAUCCCACGUCGGGCUCCCGGUGCAUGGAGCCUGCUUCUCCCUCUGCCUAUGUCUCUGCCUCUCUCUCUGUGUGUGACUAUCAUAAAUAAAUAAAAAAAAUUAAAAAAAAUUUUUAAUACUUUAGUCUUUAUGUGUGUGCGUAAAUGACCAU